AGCGAACGCUGGCGGCAGGCCUAACACAUGCAAGUCGAACGAACUCUUCGGAGUUAGUGGCGGACGGGUGAGUAACACGUGGGAACGUGCCUUUUGGUUCGGAAUAACUCAGGGAAACUUGUGCUAAUACCGAAUGUGCCCUUCGGGGGAAAGAUUUAUCGCCAUUAGAGCGGCCCGCGUCUGAUUAGCUAGUUGGUGAGGUAACGGCUCACCAAGGCGACGAUCAGUAGCUGGUCUGAGAGGAUGACCAGCCACACUGGGACUGAGACACGGCCCAGGCUCCUACGGGAGGCAGCAGUGGGGAAUCUUGCGCAAUGGGCGAAAGCCUGACGCAGCCAUGCCGCGUGAAUGAUGAAGGCCUUAGGAUUGUAAAAUUCUUUCACCGGGGACGAUAAUGACGGUACCCGGAGAAGAAGCCCCGGCUAACUUCGUG
rnacentral:rRNA from 1 species